CCCGGGAGAUGGAGUUUGCAGUGAGCCGAGAUCACGCCAUUGCACAAGAGCAAAAUUCUGUCUCAAAAAAAAAAAAAAAAAAAAAAAGAAAAAGAAAUCCCCAGUUCUGAACUGGAGAAAGCAGAAAGCAGAGAGGCCCUGCAAGGAAUUGAGAUCAAGAGACUUCUUUAGAUUAGCUUACUUUGGGAUGGAUGAUCAGUAAAAGGAUCAGGGUCUUUCUGAUGGGCAGAGCUGUCUAUAUGCAUUGGUGGAGAAAGGAAACUAUGACUAGGUGUGAUAUGAAGGUCAUUGACAGCCCCAUUUAAACACAAAUGGCUCUCCUGUUAGGGUGUUGAAAGUGCUCUGUGGUUGUUCUGUAUUAUGUUUAGGACUUAGUCCUGCAUUAGAGAUGCACAAUCAGAGUGAACCAGAUAGGUCCAGUAUCAUAUUCUAGCUUUGUCCAUUACCGGAUCUAGGACCUUAGGAAGAUUGCUUCAGUUUCCUCAUCCUGCAAAAUUGCAAAUAAUAUAUCCCUUGUAUGACUGUGGUAAGGAAUACAAAUAAUGAAUAUAAACUGCUUCAUGGAGCCUGCUGUGCAGCAGAGGCACAGUAAGUAGGAACUAUUUAUUAUUAUAGUAUUCAAAGGCUAUUCUUCCAUAAACCACUCACAAAAAUAUGAAUAUACCUCCUGGGAGGAGAAAUAUCUUUUGUUUGUCAGUUUAACUAGUUUUACCUUGAAAACCACUUAGUGAGGUUCCAAGGAAUGGAAAAAAGAAAGAAGGAUGGGGGAAGUGGCCUAGAAAAAUGGACAGGUAUAGCAGGAGGGUUGAAUGGAGGUGGAUACCUGUGUUGGGUAGUCAGAGGACAUUAGAGGAGCCUUGAGAGCAUGAGAAGGACAAGUGACCAAACUGGAAGGCGGUGUUGCCCACAGGUUGCCUGGAAAAAGAUACCUAUUGCUAAGAUUGGACUAGUUGUACCCAUGAUCAUUGUGCCAGGUCGCCAAAGUAUGAGAAUGCCCUUCAUCAUUGCAGCAGCCCAUGAAGGCUUCCAAAUAAUUCUGUUCUCUGCUCCCUCCAGCUACAGCAGAAGGGAGCUAGGUCAGAGACAACUUGAACAUUUCAUAAAACAUUGUUAUGAAGACAAAAUGAAAACCAGGCAACAAGUGUAUUCUCUUAGCUUGUCU
rnacentral:lncRNA from 1 species